rnacentral:rRNA from 1 species
UACAGAGGGGGCAAGCGUUAUUCGGAAUUACUGGGCGUAAAGGGCUCGUAGGCGGCCAACUAAGUCAGACGUGAAAUCCCUCAGCUUAACUGGGGAACUGCGUCUGAUACUGGAUGGCUUGGAUUCGGGAGAGGAAUGCGGAAUUCCAGGUGUAGCGGUGAAAUGCGUAGAUAUCUGGAGGAACACCGGUGGCGAAGGCGGCAUUCUGGACCGACAUUGACGCUGAGGAGCGAAAGCCAGGGGAGCAAACGGG